CCUACGGGUGGCAUCAGUGAGGAAUAUUGGUCAAUGGACGAGAGUCUGAACCAGCCAAGUAGCGUGAAGGAUGACUGCCCUAUGGGUUGUACACUUCUUUUAUAUGGGACUAAAAUGUUCCACGUGUGGGAUUUUGUAUGUACCAUAUGAAUAAGGAUCGGCUAACUCCGUGCCAGCCGCCGCGGUACUCUGGAGAGGCCGAGCGUUAUCCGGAUUUAUUGGGUUUAACGGGAGCGUAGGUGGAUUGUUAAGUCAGUUGUGAAAGUUGGCGGCUCAACCGGAAAAUUGCAGUUGAAACUGGCAGACUGGAGUACAGUAGAGGUGGGCGGAAUUCGGGGUGGAGCGGUGAAAUGCUUAGAUAUCACGAAGAACUCCGAUUGCGAAGGCAGCUCACUGGACUGCAACUGACACUGAGGCUCGAAAGUGUGGGUAUCAAACAGGAUUAGAUACCCUGGUAGUC
rnacentral:rRNA from 1 species